CGCAAACCCGACGCCAUGAAGCGCCCCCACCACCCAACCUCUCUUCCGACCAAACCAAAAUCGAAACCCUAACCCUAACGCCAUAGCCCUAGAAACCUGAAAACCCUUACCUGAACUCGAUCGGAGGAGCUCGUCGCCGAUGGCGCACGGCGGCUACGCGCGGCGUCGCAUCGAGGAGCGGCGCCCCCUCGGGCGCCGAUCGAAGGGGCUAGGGCUCGACAAGAAGGGGAAGAAGCAGAGGUCGGCGUCCCUCAAGAACCAGAUCCGAUCCACCGAGCGAUUGCUCCGCAAGGACCUCCCUCAUGAAGUCAGGGAAGCUCAAGUCAAGAAAUUGGAAGAACUGAAAAGACAGCAGGAAAUUCAUACUAGACUGGCUAUAGAACGCAAAAUACAGUUGCGAAAUAGAAAAAUAAAAUUCUUUGAGAGAAGAAAGAUAGAGAGGAUGAUAAGACGACUUGAAAAGCAACAACGCUCAUCAUCUGAUCAUGUUGAAGAGGGAAGAAUAUCUGAUCAACUUUCAAAAUUACGAGAAGAUCUUGAAUAUGUUAGGUUCUUCCCAAAGACAGAAAAGUAUGUACCAUUGUUUGCUGGUGGGGAUAAUCCUACUAUUGUGGAAAAAAGAAAUAAGUUGCGGAAGCAAAUCAAAGACAAUCUUGUGGCUGCUGCAGCUAGCGGGAAAGACUUAGAAGAGACAGCAAGUGAUGAUGAUGCUUUAGACAUGAGCGAGGAUGACUUCUUCAUGUCUGGAAGUUCAAGCGAUGAAGUAGAGGCAGAUGAUGAGUGGACAGACAAAAGUACAAAGGAGCAAGCAUCCAGCGCUUCUGGGAAAGCAACCUCUGGCAUGUCAAGUGAUGAAAAGAAUCAGAGGCAAAUAUCUGCUCGAGUUCUCAUGCCGCCUCCUCGAUCAUUACCUCCAAACAGAGGUAAAUUUAUAAAGAAGUUCGAUAUAUCCACAUCAAGCAACACAUCAAAUAGCACAAGCAGCUCUUCCUCCAAAAAGUGGAGACCAACAGCGAAUGUACAAGGAGAUCAUAGUAGCAACCUGAGUUCCAAUUCUGAUGCUCAUAAAUCACGGAGGAAACGCAGACAUAGGAAGAAGAAGAAACAGGUUUAGUUGAUACUUUGAAAUGAUCAUAUCAUGCUGAACAAAUCCAUCUCUUUGAAGACAACUUUGCUACCUCCAAAUAGUUGCAUAGACCGAAUGGCGAGCAGUGUCAGUAACUGAAGCUGAGAGAUUCUUGUGUAAUGCAAGCAUGAGAAAAAGUUAAAUAUUGUCCCCAAAACCGCACUAUUUAUCUUCAAAGUAUCUACAUUGCUUGAGCAAUUGCAAUCUUUUCUUCUGUUUUGUCAUGUGCAACUUUUUCUUUUUUGUUGCUGCCGCGCAGCUAAAGAUGGAAUUAUAUCGAUAUUUCUUGCGAUAAUUGGUCGAAA